rnacentral:tRNA from 1 species
GGGCCGGUGGCUUAGCCAGGAUAUAGCACUGGCCUUCUAAGCCAGUUGUAUCGUGUUCGAAAGACGCUAAGCGCGUAAGAAACUACAGACCGGCCCG